rnacentral:rRNA from 1 species
UACAGAGGUCUCAAGCGUUGUUCGGAUUCAUUGGGCGUAAAGGGUGCGUAGGUGGCGCGCUAAGUCAGGUGUGAAAUUUCGGAGCUUAACUCCGAAACUGCAUUUGAUACUGGCGUGCUUGAGGGACUGGAGAGGAGACUGGAAUUCAUGGUGUAGCAGUGAAAUGCGUAGAGAUCAUGAGGAAGACCAGUGGCGAAGGCGGGUCUCUGGACAGUUCCUGACACUGGAGGCACGAAGGCCAGGGGAGCAAACGGG